UUACGGCCUUAUCACGUUGAAAUGCUGGUUUCCUUACGAUCACUGAAGUUAAGUAACGUCGAGCCUAGUCAGAACCCUGAUGGGUGACCGCUUGGGAAUACCAGGUGA